rnacentral:rRNA from 1 species
CACGUAGGGUGCGAGCGUUGUCCGGAAUUAUUGGGCGUAAAGAGCUCGUAGGCGGUGUGUCGCGUCGGCCGUGAAAACCUGCAGCUUAACUGUGGGCGUGCGGUCGAUACGGGCAUCACUGGAGUUCGGCAGGGGAGACUGGAAUUCCUGGUGUAGCGGUGAAAUGCGCAGAUAUCAGGAGGAACACCGGUGGCGAAGGCGGCAUCCUGGACCGACACUGACACUGAGGAGCGAAAGCCAGGGGAGCAAACGGG